CGGCGCGCCGCGUGCCGAUGAACGCGGCAGUCGGGCACGACCCGGCAGGGAAAGG
ncrna:unclassified sequences M23 RNA